rnacentral:rRNA from 1 species
GGUGGACGGGUGAGUAACACGUGGGCAACUUGCCCGCAAGACCGGGAUAACUCCGGGAAACCGGAGCUAAUACCGGAUAACACCGAAGACCGCAUGGUCUUCGGUUGAAGGGCGGCCUUUGGGCUGUCACUUGCGGAUGGGCCCGCGGCGCAUCAGCUAGUUGGUGAGGUAACGGCUCACCAAGGCGACGAUGCGUAGCCGGCCUGAGAGGGUGACCGGCCACACUGGGACUGAGACACGGCCCAGACUCUUACGGGAGGCAGCAGUAGGAAAUCUUCCGCAAUGGGCGAAAGCCUGACGGAGCGACGCCGCGUGAGCGAAGAAGGCCUUCGGGUCGUAAAGCUCUGUUGUGAGGGACGAAGGAGCGCCGUUCGAAGAGGGCGGCGCGGUGACGGUACCUCACGAGAAAGCCCCGGCUAACUACGUGCCAGCAGCCGCGGUAAUACGUAGGGGGCGAGCGUUGUCCGGUAUUAUUGGGCGUAAAGCGCGCGCAGGCGGUCUCUUAAGUCUGAUGUGAAAGCCCACGGCUCAACCGUGGAGGGUCAUUGGAAACUGGGGGACUUGAGGGCAGGAGAGGAGAGCGGAAUUCCACGUGUAGCGGUGAAAUGCGUAGAGAUGUGGAGGAACACCAGUGGCGAAGGCGGCUCUCUGGCCUGCACCUGACGCUGAGGCGCGAAAGCGUGGGGAGCAAACAGGAUUAGAUACCCUGGUAGUCCACGCCGUAAACGAUGAGUGCUAAGUGUUAGAGGGGUCACACCCUUUAGUGCUGCAGCUAACGCGAUAAGCACUCCGCCUGGGGAGUACGGCCGCAAGGCUGAAACUCAAAGGAAUUGACGGGGGCCCGCACAAGCGGUGGAGCAUGUGGUUUAAUUCGGAGCAACGCGAAGAACCUUACCAGGUCUUGACAUCCCCUGACAACCCAAGAGAUUGGGCGUUCCCCCUUCGGGGGGACAGGGUGACAGGUGGUGCAUGGUUGUCGUCAGCUCGUGUCGUGAGAUGUUGGGUUAAGUCCCGCAACGAGCGCAACCUUCGCCUCUAGUUGCCAGCAUUCGGUUGGGCACUCUAGAGGGACUGCCGGCGACAAGUCGGAGGAAGGUGGGGAUGACGUCAAAUCAUCAUGCCCCUUAUGACCUGGGCUACACACGUGCUACAAUGGGCGGUACAAAGGGCUGCGAACCUGCGAGGGGGAGCGGAUCCCAAAAAGCCGCUCUCAGUUCGGAUUGCAGGCUGCAACUCGCU